UACGUAGGGUGCGAGCGUUGUCCGGAAUUAUUGGGCGUAAAGAGCUCGUAGGCGGUGUGUCACGUCGGCCGUGAAAACCUGCAGCUUAACUGUGGGCGUGCGGUCGAUACGGGCAUCACUGGAGUUCGGCAGGGGAGACUGGAGUUCCUGGUGUAGCGGUGAAAUGCGCAGAUAUCAGGAGGAACACCGGUGGCGAAGGCGGGUCUCUGGGCCGAUACUGACGCUGAGGAGCGAAAGCGUGGGGAGCAAACAGG
rnacentral:rRNA from 1 species